rnacentral:rRNA from 1 species
ACGAAGGGGGCAAGCGUUGUUCGGAAUUACUGGGCGUAAAGGGCGCGUAGGCGGCUUGCCAAGUCAGGCGUGAAAUUCCCGGGCUCAACCUGGGGGCUGCGCUUGAUACUGGCUGGCUUGAAUGCGGGAGAGGAUAGUGGAAUUCCCAGUGUAGAGGUGAAAUUCGUAGAUAUUCGUAAGAACACCAGUGGCGAAGGCGACUUUCUGGCUCGAUACUGACGCUAAGGCGCGAAAGCGUGGGGAGCAAACAGGA